rnacentral:rRNA from 1 species
UACGUAGGGUGCGAGCGUUGUCCGGAAUUAUUGGGCGUAAAGGGCUCGUAGGCGGUUUGUCGCGUCGGGUGUGAAAACACCGGGCUUAACUCGGUGCUUGCUUUCGAUACGGGCAGACUAGAGGUAUGCAGGGGAGAACGGAAUUCCUGGUGUAGCGGUGAAAUGCGCAGAUAUCAGGAGGAACACCGGUGGCGAAGGCGGUUCUCUGGGCAUUUCCUGACGCUGAGGAGCGAAAGUGUGGGGAGCGAACAGG